GGGGAAAAAGAAGGCAAGCCCGUUCUGGACAGACGGCGGCGGGGACACCUGCAGCUCUGGAACGGCAGUGACUACAGAUGACAACACUCAACAGCAGUCCAAGAAAUUUCCUGCAAUCCUGUCGAAGAGCCUUCAUUUUUCUUGGCUGCGAAGUGUGACUUUGUGAAAGAAGUCGUUAUUGUCCGAGGAGUGAGGCGGGUCGAGUCGCGGCUGCAGGAAGACGCAGCCCAGAGCGAUGGCCUCGAUGGGCG